UCAUGAACUCGCAUUCCAGUUUCAUCUUCUCUCCUCUUCCCGCAAUAUCUUUCAUCUCCAGAUCUCCUUAUAGGCAUUUCUCUGCUUCUGAAUCGGUAUGCAGAUUCGUGUAGACCGUUCGCCGAUCUACAGUUUGAGUAUGGUUUCGACUUGUAUCGGUCAUCAUUUCCGUGCAAAUCGUAACAGAUAGUGCCGAUUUAUCAUUUCUGAGGUAUUUCGGUACGAAUAUUGCUCGGGUUAUGGACGAUGCUGUUGGCUAGACGAAGAUUGGAUAGAUCUGAUGGAUUUUGUUACGAGAUUGAGAGAUGCAUGACCUUUUCAAGAAGUUCUCGGUGAUCUGAGAUGAUUUUUUGAGUUUUAUCGGUUGUCAUCGUUUCAAUCUGGUGAUUUUACCGUAUCUCUGUAGAGCUUGGUGCAAUUGGAUAUCACUGGUGUUCUAUUUAUGCUAGAUCUCGGGGAUGGUAAACGGCAAGCUUGAGGUUGUUAGAUAAGGUUAUCAUAGUUUAAUUCGUUGUCUAUUCUCAGCUUAAUUAUGAAAAUUUGCAUUAGUUUUACUGUUAUGCAUGCAUAUGUACGAGUAGAUAAUCAGACUGUAGAGAAAAGAGAGGAUGUGUGAGGUUCUUUAUUGUUGUUUGCCGGCCUUUGCCAUGCCGGGUGCGCUCGCAUGGCAGGUCACAAAACCUAAUAAAGAUGCGAUUUUUGUGUUCGGAGGGGAGAUGGUACGGGGUUUUUUGCCCGACUCUCCUCUCUGUGUCUGUCUUUGGCCUCCUUUCUUUUCUAGAACUGUCUGCAAGAUCUAUUCAGAUAAACGUCUCAUCAAAUUUGGCGUUAAUGUCCCCGAACGAUGGUUUCGAUAUCCGCAAAGUUAUAGCAGCGCUCUACCUUUUCAAUGGAUAGGUAUGUCAUGCACUAUUAAUACAACAAUGGACAGGCGAAUUCUAGGAAUAUUCAGCUCCACUCUCCUAUCAAAGGUACACUUGUGAAUUCCUUUAACUAACUUUGACACUUAACUUUUUUCCAUGAGUAAAUUGCCAAUAGUAGUCCGUAAAAUCUUUAAUUGUUUCUGAGUACAGGUAGUAAUUUUGUUAACAUAUAAGAGUUCAUUCAGCCUACUUAUAACUAUUGAUUAAUUUAUCAAAUGAAAUAGCAAAAUGACUUAUUUUGAGUACUGGAACAGUUCAAUUCUAAGUCAAAUCUGUUUCACAGAGAUAUAAGAUAAUCUAACCAUUUGCGAAUAAUGAUAAAUUAACAUCUGUAGCUUAAUAUAUCUGGAGUGAACUAGUUUUCCAAAUGAGGUUUAGCAGUUUUGACGAUCUGAAAAUUUGGGUUUGAGAUACUGAUCUCUCUUUUACUAAUCAAAUGGUGGGCUAUUAAAUGAGACUAGAUUAUUAUUUGUUUCAUCAUCCAUAUUCUAAAUCUUUGUCAAGUCUGUUAAAUCAAUAUCUAUCACUAAUGCAAAAAGAAAUCUGUGUACACGAUUGCCAUUUAUUUAUUUAUCAUCACUGCGAAAAUUUCAAUAUGUAAUUUAUUAUUACAUUAAAGGCUGUGGAACUAUCUUUGUAUUUAUUUUCUUGUUAUAAUUUGCAAUGGUGGAUUUCAAUGGAGUGUUGUUGAGCUCAUUCUGUUAUCCUAGAGGGUGAAUGUUUAUUGGGGUAUGAUUCAGUAAGUUAAUUGCUGGAUUUUGUACAAUUGUUGUUCCUCUGCUGGCCGGUUCUCUGUGCAUGCUGACUUGGAAGUUGCUGUGCCAUACUGCUAUGGAUCUGCUCCAUGCUGAAAUCAAUUAUUAUGUUCUACUUUUGGACUUGUUUCCUUGAUCACGCUCUUGGAAUUUCCUGUUUUAUAUGCCGUCAUAUUUCUGGUGCAAUCAAGUUUUAUGUGGAAAUUCUCAACUCUCUUUACCUGCACCAUCUUCACUUGGAAUACACAAUGAGCAAACCCAAUUGUCAGCUUCUUCGUUCUAGCAAGCCUGAUAAGGAAGCAUCUUGCAAGUGUGUUAGGAUAACUAUUGGAAACUUGCUUGACAUUUCCGAAGUUUCUUGACUAAGUUGCUGCUGUCUGUGAAUCAUGGUACUCUCAUCAAAAGCUGUAAACAAUUUCUACGCUCUUGGAAUUACCUGUUUUAUAUGCUGUCUGUGUUACCAUUUUAUUGUUGUCCUCGAUCCAUUUGUGCAAGGAAUGUGCGCAUUUUUGAAGCGGGCUAUAUUUGAUGGAGUGUGAUUACAACUUAUUAUUAUGCCUUACUUGAGAAGUUGCUGUUAUGUAGGCAGAAAAGUGGGGAUAUUUGCCAUCUUUUGCUAUGUAUACUGUGCAAGUAUACUUCUCUUCACUGCAGGGUUAACCACUAGGAAAUAUUGUUAUCUGAUAUAUUUGAUUACUGGAUCGUCUGUUGAGGUAAUCUGUUCUUAAAUGUUAGGUUGUUAUGCUUGUUAAUCAGUUGUGUUUUUAAUUCACUCACUGGUAGUCAAUUUCUUUGAGCAAAAGGGGAAAUAAAUUAUAAUCCCAUCCUAUAGAUAA